GUGUCAGCCGCCGCGGUAAUACGGAGGGGGCAAGCGUUGUUCGGAAUUACUGGGCGUAAAGGGCGAGUAGGCGGCUCUGUAAGUCGGAUGUGAAAGCCCCCGGCUCAACCGGGGAACUGCAUCCGAAACUGCGGAGCUUGAGUCCGGGAGAGGGAAGCGGAAUUCCCAGUGUAGCGGUGAAAUGCGUAGAUAUUGGGAGGAACACCAGUGGCGAAGGCGGCUUCCUGGACCGGUACUGACGCUCAGGAGCGAAAGCUAGGGGAGCGAAUGGGAUUAGAAACCCCAGUAGUCC
rnacentral:rRNA from 1 species